UACGUAGGGGGCAAGCGUUGUCCGGAUUUAUUGGGCGUAAAGAGCGUGUAGGCGGUCAGGUAGGUCCGUUGUGAAAACUCGAGGCUCAACCUCGAGACGUCGAUGGAAACCAUCUGGCUAGAGUCCGGAAGAGGAGAGUGGAAUUCCUGGUGUAGCGGUGAAAUGCGCAGAUAUCUGGAGGAACACCGGUGGCGAAGGCGGCAUCCUGGACCACGACUGACGCUGAGGAGCGAAAGCCAGGGGAGCAAACGGG
rnacentral:rRNA from 1 species